UACGUAGGUGGCGAGCGUUGUCCGGAUUUACCGGGCGUAAAGGGAGCGUCGGCGGACUUUUAAGUGAGAUGUGAAAUACUCGGGCUCAACUUGAGUGCUGCAUUUCAAACUGGAAGUCUAGAGUGCAGGAGAGGAGAAUGGAAUUCCUAGUGUAGCGGUGAAAUGCGUAGAGAUUAGGAAGAACACCAGUGGCGAAGGCGAUUCUCUGGACUGUAACUGACGCUGAGGCUCGAAAGCGUGGGGAGCAAACAGG
rnacentral:rRNA from 1 species